rnacentral:rRNA from 1 species
UACGUAGGUUGCGAGCGUUGUCCGGAUUUACUGGGCGUAAAGCGCGCGCAGGCGGUCUUGAAAGUCGAAUGUGAAAGCUCCCGGCCCAACUGGGAGAGGCCGUUCGAAACUUCGAGACUUGAAGGCGGGAGAGGCAGAUGGAAUUUCCGGUGUAGCGGUAAAAUGCGUAGAUACCGGAAGGAACACCAGUGGCGAAAGCGAUCUGCUGGCCCGCC